ACGAGCGAGAGAGAGCUUGCUUUCUCGAGCGAGUGGCGAACGGGUGAGUAACGCGUGAGGAACCUGCCUCAAAGAGGGGGACAACAGUUGGAAACGACUGCUAAUACCGCAUAAGCCCACAGCUCGGCAUCGAGCAGAGGGAAAAGGAGCAAUCCGCUUUGAGAUGGCCUCGCGUCCGAUUAGCUAGUUGGUGAGGUAACGGCCCACCAAGGCAACGAUCGGUAGCCGGACUGAGAGGUUGAACGGCCACAUUGGGACUGAGACACGGCCCAGACUCCUACGGGAGGCAGCAGUGGGGAAUAUUGCACAAUGGGGGAAACCCUGAUGCAGCGACGCCGCGUGGAGGAAGAAGGUCUUCGGAUUGUAAACUCCUGUUGUUGAGGAAGAUAAUGACGGUACUCAACAAGGAAGUGACGGCUAACUACGUGCCAGCAGCCGCGGUAAAACGUAGGUCACAAGCGUUGUCCGGAAUUACUGGGUGUAAAGGGAGCGCAGGCGGGAAGACAAGUUGGAAGUGAAAUCUAUGGGCUCAACCCAUAAACUGCUUUCAAAACUGUUUUUCUUGAGUAGUGCAGAGGUAGGCGGAAUUCCCGGUGUAGCGGUGGAAUGCGUAGAUAUCACGAAGAACUCCGAUUGCGAAGGCAGCUCACUGGACUGCAACUGACA
rnacentral:rRNA from 1 species